UUAAGCGACUAAGCGUACACGGUGGAUGCCCUGGCAGUCAGAGGCGAUGAAGGACGUGCUAAUCUGCGAAAAGCGUCGGUAAGGUGAUAUGAACCGUUAUAACCGGCGAUGUCCGAAUGGGGAAACCCAGUGUGAUUCGUCACACUAUCGUUAACUGAAUACAUAGGUUAACGAGGCGAACCGGGGGGAACUGAAACAUCUAAGUACCCCGAGGAAAAGAAAUCAACCGAGAUUCCCCCAGUAGCGGCGAGCGAACGGGGAGCAGCCCAGAGUCUGAAUCAGCUUGUGUGUUAGUGGAACGGUCUGGAAAGUCCGACGGUACAGGGUGAUAGUCCCGUACACCAAAAUGCACAGGUUGUGAACUCGAAGAGUAGGGCGGGACACGUGGUAUCCUGUCUGAAUAUGGGGGGGACCAUCCUCCAAGGCUAAAUACUCCUGACUGACCGAUAGUGAACCAGUACCGUGAGGGAAAGGCGAAAAGAACCCCGGCGAGGGGAGUGAAAAAGAACCUGAAACCGUGUACGUACAAGCAGUGGGAGCACCUUCGGGUGUGACUGCGUACCUUUUGUAUAAUGGGUCAGCGACUUAUAUUCUGUAGCAAGGUUAACCGUAUAGGGGAGCCGCAGGGAAACCGAGUCUUAACUGGGCGUUAAGUUGCAGGGUAUAGACCCGAAACCCGGUGAUCUAGCCAUGGGCAGGUUGAAGGUUGGGUAACACUAACUGGAGGACCGAACCGACUAAUGUUGAAAAAUUAGCGGAUGACUUGUGGCUGGGGUGAAAGGCCAAUCAAACCGGGAGAUAGCUGGUUCUCCCCGAAAGCUAUUUAGGUAGCGCCUCGUGAACUCAUCUUCGGGGUAGAGCACUGUUUCGGCUAGGGGGUCAUCCCGACUUACCAACCCGAUGCAAACUACGAAUACCGAAGAAUGUUAUCACGGGAGACACACGGCGGGUGCUAACGUCCGUCGUGAAGAGGGAAACAACCCAGACCGCCAGCUAAGGUCCCAAAGUCAUGGUUAAGUGGGAAACGAUGUGGGAAGGCACAGACAGCCAGGAUGUUGGCUUAGAAGCAGCCAUCAUUUAAAGAAAGCGUAAUAGCUCACUGGUCGAGUCGGCCUGCGCGGAAGAUGUAACGGGGCUAAACCAUGCACCGAAGCUGCGGCAGCGACACUAUGUGUUGUUGGGUAGGGGAGCGUUCUGUAAGCCUGCGAAGGUGUGCUGUGAGGCAUGCUGGAGGUAUCAGAAGUGCGAAUGCUGACAUAAGUAACGAUAAAGCGGGUGAAAAGCCCGCUCGCCGGAAGACCAAGGGUUCCUGUCCAACGUUAAUCGGGGCAGGGUGAGUCGACCCCUAAGGCGAGGCCGAAAGGCGUAGUCGAUGGGAAACAGGUUAAUAUUCCUGUACUUGGUGUUACUGCGAAGGGGGGACGGAGAAGGCUAUGUUAGCCGGGCGACGGUUGUCCCGGUUUAAGCAUGUAGGCUGGUUGUCCAGGCAAAUCCGGAUAAUCAAGGCUGAGGUGUGAUGACGAGGCACUACGGUGCUGAAGUAACAAAUGCCCUGCUUCCAGGAAAAGCCUCUAAGCAUCAGGUAACAUCAAAUCGUACCCCAAACCGACACAGGUGGUCAGGUAGAGAAUACCAAGGCGCUUGAGAGAACUCGGGUGAAGGAACUAGGCAAAAUGGUGCCGUAACUUCGGGAGAAGGCACGCUGGUGUGUAGGUGAAGCCCCUGCGGGUGGAGCUGAGACCAGUCGAAGAUACCAGCUGGCUGCAACUGUUUAUUAAAAACACAGCACUGUGCAAACACGAAAGUGGACGUAUACGGUGUGACGCCUGCCCGGUGCCGGAAGGUUAAUUGAUGGGGUUAUCCGUAAGGAGAAGCUCUUGAUCGAAGCCCCGGUAAACGGCGGCCGUAACUAUAACGGUCCUAAGGUAGCGAAAUUCCUUGUCGGGUAAGUUCCGACCUGCACGAAUGGCGUAAUGAUGGCCAGGCUGUCUCCACCCGAGACUCAGUGAAAUUGAACUCGCUGUGAAGAUGCAGUGUACCCGCGGCAAGACGGAAAGACCCCGUGAACCUUUACUAUAGCUUGACACUGAACAUUGAGCCUUGAUGUGUAGGAUAGGUGGGAGGCUUUGAAGCGUGGACGCCAGUCUGCGUGGAGCCAACCUUGAAAUACCACCCUUUAAUGUUUGAUGUUCUAACGUUGGCCCCUGACCGGGGUUGCGGACAGUGUCUGGUGGGUAGUUUGACUGGGGCGGUCUCCUCCCAAAGCGUAACGGAGGAGCACGAAGGUUAGCUAAUCCUGGUCGGACAUCAGGAGGUUAGUGCAAUGGCAUAAGCUAGCUUGACUGCGAGCGUGACGGCGCGAGCAGGUGCGAAAGCAGGUCAUAGUGAUCCGGUGGUUCUGAAUGGAAGGGCCAUCGCUCAACGGAUAAAAGGUACUCCGGGGAUAACAGGCUGAUACCGCCCAAGAGUUCAUAUCGACGGCGGUGUUUGGCACCUCGAUGUCGGCUCAUCACAUCCUGGGGCUGAAGUAGGUCCCAAGGGUAUGGCUGUUCGCCAUUUAAAGUGGUACGCGAGCUGGGUUUAGAACGUCGUGAGACAGUUCGGUCCCUAUCUGCCGUGGGCGCUGGAGAAUUGAGGGGGGCUGCUCCUAGUACGAGAGGACCGGAGUGGACGCAUCACUGGUGUUCGGGUUGUCAUGCCAAUGGCACUGCCCGGUAGCUAAAUGCGGAAGAGAUAAGUGCUGAAAGCAUCUAAGCACGAAACUUGCCCCGAGAUGAGUUCUCCCUGAGACUUUAAGUCUCCUGAAGGAACGUUGAAGACGACGACGUUGAUAGGCCGGGUGUGUAAGCGCAGCGAUGCGUUGAGCUAACCGGUACUAAUGAACCGUGAGGCUUAACCU
rnacentral:rRNA from 1 species